rnacentral:rRNA from 1 species
ACACUCCUGCGGGAGGCAGCAGUGGGGAAUAUUGGACAAUGGGCGCAAGCCUGAUCCAGCCAUGCCGCGUGAGUGAUGAAGGCCCUAGGGUUGUAAAGCUCUUUCACCGGAGAAGAUAAUGACGGUAUCCGGAGAAGAAGCCCCGGCUAACUUCGUGCCAGCAGCCGCGGUAAUACGAAGGGGGCUAGCGUUGUUCGGAAUUACUGGGCGUAAAGCGCACGUAGGCGGAUCGAUCAGUCAGGGGUGAAAUCCCAGGGCUCAACCCUGGAACUGCCUUUGAUACUGUCGAUCUGGAGUAUGGAAGAGGUGAGUGGAAUUCCGAGUGUAGAGGUGAAAUUCGUAGAUAUUCGGAGGAACACCAGUGGCGAAGGCGGCUCACUGGUCCAUUACUGACGCUGAGGUGCGAAAGCGUGGGGAGCAAACAGGAUUAGAAACCCCUGUAGUCCCAUGAU